rnacentral:lncRNA from 1 species
AGAGUGUACAAACACAUAUCUUCUUCUUCUUCUUCAAAAGGGAGAGGGUCACUGACUCUGGAAGGAUUAAAGCUAGCAGCAGCGAUGGGAACACCAAGGACAGUGAAGGUGACCAACCAAAGACCACCGAGACGAAGAAAGAAUUUGCUUGGACCUAAUUCUCCCCAUGAGUACAACAUCCCUUCCUUCAAAGCCGAAUACUCAUUCACCUAAAUAACCCCAACAAAAGGGUAUUAUCAAAAAAAAAAUUAUUUCAUCUAUAUAUUUAUAGAGUUAGAAAAAAAUGAGACCCCGACGACGACGUCGCUGGAGGAGCCGGUUUCGGGGAAGAGGUCCGCGUUAUGGACAUCGAGGCCGAGGAAGAGUGGAGUGCGAGUGGUGUGUAGCUCGUACCGGUGCUCCGGUAGUACCAAGAUGACACCUGGCAGAGUCAUGAGCGAGUCGGCUUCUUCGGGAGUUAGCCGAGUCGAGAAUCCGUGAAUGGCGUUGGUGUAUGUGUAGAGGAGCUGAGCAGAUUGUGAGACGGAUCUGAGGGAGGAGUCGUACCAGAGAGAGUGGAGGUCGAAGCCCGACGGCAUCUGAGACUGCGCCAUGUGAACGAUGUAAGUUGCAUGUUGAGCUCCAUCCGACAUGUGGCAGAAGCCCUGAUGGAGGAGGAGGAGGAUAGUGAAGAAUGCAGCAGAGGAGAGAAACGAAGAAUAAGACAUAUUUUUCGGUAUCGCUCUGAAUUUGGACCAAUAGUUUAUUAUAUAUAGUAAGUAGAGAGACAGGAGAUGCUAGUGAGAACACACAAAGAGGUUUUCGAUUGCUAGUAACCGCAAGCUUCUGACACUGUGUCAUAACGUGCCGUUUCUCAGAUCUCUUUGUAUCGGUUUUAUAUUCCCAAACCCGAACCAGAUCUCAACUCCUGCCGCAAAAGACAAAUCUAUAAAGCUAACUCCAAACCAUCUAAAACUAUUUCGUCAAAAACGAAUUCCAACAAUUUCAUCUCUCUCCCAAUCAAAACAUUAAAGCCAAGACUUUGACUUAGUCAUCUUGGGCCGUCUCUUACUAUUUGAACUCUGCUGCUCUAGGCAUCGUGUAGUUGGAACCUACGUAUUCACGAGAAGGACUCAUAGCCCUGUUGGCAAAAAAGGGUAUAUAUCAUUUUCGUUCGAGCUAGGAACGUGCACUAUUGGAUAUUGAUAAUAGGUGAAAUGGGUUCAGCCCAAAUGGAUAAAUUUAUUGGAUAGUGAUCGGCCCAUUACAACUAUCUUGUGUUUAGACAUUCAGUUUACAUAGGCCCAUUAAUAAAUACAACAUCUAUGAGAUUAUGGUUCUGCUCUUAUCAAAAUUUGUUCAGAAAGGACUCCAGUACUCAAUUGUUUCAAAGAAUUCACCAUUCACGUCUUUCUUUAGAAUUCACAUUAACUUCCAGGUAGACUGGGCAAGCAACGUCUUUGGCUUUGGAAGAGCAAGAGGCACUGUUUGUAAUUCUCCCGUGACUAAUGAGCUCUGAUAGACGUCCUUGUAAGUACGUACGAUCUUGGCCCAGUUUUUAGGACCAUACUUUUUAAACCCCCCAAACAUUGUUUGGUCUUCAGCUGAAGAAAACAAACGGGCGUUUCUUAUCAGAGGCUUUGGAAUUUUUACUGGUCAUUGUCAUGUAACGGUCUUUGAUGUUAACUGAGUACAUCUUCGUAAGCACCUCUGAUACUGGACCAGACAUUUAGUGCCAAACUUCUUAAAACCCAUCAAGUAUUUGCUUGGUCUUCAGUUGGAGUUAAUUCUUCUCUUCCUCUCCUACUAUCGGUGGUCCAUCCCCCAAGGAAUUAAGGUUUCCUCACAGUGAGUUUCCACCCAAGGCCAAGAGCGCUGUCAUGGUCUUCAUCAAAGAUGGUGAUUGAGAAAGUCGUUGCUAUCACCAUGUGGAGGAUGAGAAUAAGGAAGAUUUGAUCCACAGAGCUCACACUUAAUCUUGUCGUGUGGAAAUUUAAAUAAGUAAAAAAAAUAAUUAAAUUUUCUACAUAUAUGUAAAGGGUUUAUAUGUGAAAUAAUUAAAAAAAAAUAGAUUUGUAGAAGGUAGAAAGAGAUAGGAAGAAAGGAUAAAGUUUUGAUUAGUUAAUGUAUUGUAGUUUUUUUUGGUCAUUUGACCUAAUUUUCCUUUAAAAAAUGUAGAGAGAAAUAAUAAGAUGUUAUUCUAUAUUGAACCCAACAAUAUAAAACCUAUUAUCUUAUACCGUCCUUCAAAAACCCAAUAACCAACCUAGGCCUAAACCAACCAAAUUCUAGUCAUGACUAUAAGUUCAUAUCUCAGAAAAUAACUUUUGCUUUAACCUAGUAAAUCAAAAUAGUUAUUAUACACUACCAGUUAGUGUGGAUUUGUAGAGACCCAGCUUAUCCUUGUGGCCGGAGAAUAUUUACUUUUUUGAGAUAGCAAAGAGAAAACAGAUAAAGCCCAAGAACACACUGCAUGCCAUUUUUGCUUUGAAACAAAGAGCUAUUACAAAGAAGGGCACUACAAGGUCCGUGACUUUAUUCUUUCCAUCAAGCCCUUUAAUUUUGUCACAAUUUACAACUAUGUCCAGCAAAUCGCUACGGGACUAGCCACCAUGUGUUUCCCAUCUGACCAUUCGAUGCUCCCGAACCUAUUAGACCUAGACGCCUUGGACGAGUUUACUGUAAACGUCACUGUAUACGAUUUCUUCUCGUUUAUUUCUUUGAAAUUCAAAACCGCCGGUUCAACCGAAAUCUUCACAUCAGUAGUCUCCGAAUUUACUUUAACCGAGUAAGACUCAGCUCCUCCCACGGUCGUGACAGUGCGCGUGUACUUGAACACGCCGGAUCCAUCAACGUUAACGGCGAACGACGGAUAGUUUAGAUCAGCGACGAAGUACGAUUUACUCGGAUCGCAAGUGUAAUUACGUCUCGACACACUUGUGAUCUGCGACGGUGUGUAAUUCAACGCAUAGAGGAAGCCUAAGUAAUCCACCGUCGUUAGAUCGUAAAUAAGUCCCGGAUUGAUCGCCGUCGUCGGCGACAUGUGUCAUGUGCCAUGCUCAAACGGCGUUGAAGGUUUCCCCGUCGUGACGUCGAGGAUCGGUUUGCCGUCGUUGUAAGUUUUGUAAGCGGUGGUCAUGAGAGCCGAUCUGAUCGCCGCCGGGCUCCACUCCGGAUGCACGGACUUGAGAAGCACAGCUAAACCGCUCACGUGUUUAAAAAUUAAACAAAAACUAAAUUUUUAAUUAUUUACUUGAUAAUAUAAAUCUAUGAAGCGAAAAGUUUAAUUUUUUAAAAACUUUCUAAAUUUGUGAAAUGUUACAAUAUCUUUGAAUAUGACAAUAAAACAAUAUUUAAUAACCUUUAUAUAUAUAGUUACGAUUUAAAUAAUAAAAUAAUAAUACGAAAAUAUAUAUAUAUAUAUAUAUAUAAGAAGAUACAAAUACAUGUGAAAGUUUAAAACAAUCUAUUCAAUGAAAAAAUAUACAGUAAACUUAUUAAGUUUUAAAAAUUGAUAGACACAUAUAUAUAUUAUAAUAUAUCCCAAUUUAGAAUUGAAAACAAAAUAUUUAUAUAAAAAUAAAUAAAAACAAAAACCCGUCGUGAUCUAGUAAGAAGUUAAAAACUAACGCAAUCUAUCAACAAGUAAACUGAUGAUUUUAGCCUUUUAACCGUGAAAAGUUAUAUAGGCCGUUAAUCUAAGCCCUUUACAUGAUUAAGUUGGGCAAUUAUUGGCCCACGUAAUCCACAUUUUAUAAAAUAACUGGUACAGUAUUUGGCAAUUAUAGGCAUUUUAAUCAAAACUGAAAGACCACAUAGUGCAUUUGUGUUGCUGUAUACUAGUUUGACAAAGUACUAUUUAACAAGAUCAUCCCAUUUGCAGUAUUGACCACCGGCCAAUGCACGGUAGUAACGGUCUCUGCAAUAGACCGGUCUUCCAUCAGCAGCCUCAGCCGCGGCUGCUGCCAAGUCAUCAUCAGUGACAACAUCGGUGGGCAACCGAAGCAAUUGUUCUUUUCUGCAUAGUUUGUAUGAACGAAAAGAGAUGAGAGUGUGGCUCCAACCAAAAGUUCUGAUAGUUUGGUGUUACUGAUUGAUCUCUCUCCUUGUUACCUCAUAUUGAACUUGUUGUUGGUUCUUGAAAUGGAAACCUCUGGUUGGUUAUCCUUAGAUGAUCUUAGAGUGGUUUUAAAGAAAUCCUCGACUGGUGUUGCGAAAACGAAUAGGACGAAUGCUGAAACGAGCAAAGCUCCUGUUCCAAUUAAUGUCUGCUUCAGCAUCUUGAUUACUGGCUUCACCUGAAACUCACAAAUGUAGCCUCAGUUUCUUUUUUUGCCUUUCCAGCAUUUGAAUAAGAAACAUCAUUGUCUGCAUUCAUUUACCUUGUAAGAGCCUAACAGCCUGUCCCUAGCCAAUACCUGAGAAGAAACAAAGAUGGAAAUGCAUUUGGACCAUAGGAAUGUUCAUUUCUUGUAAUGAAAAGGGAAAAGACUUUGGAAAAGCAAACCUCUGGAGGCUUAACCCACAUUUGGCCAUCAUACCAUCCGCUCUCUUCGUAUGGAAUAACAGCAGAAAGUAGUCUAUCUCCAACAUAGCUCCAUCCCUAACAACAAACCAACCAACUUCAUUUAUAAUCCACUAAUAAAUUAAUGUUAAGCUGGGGAGAAGUCUAUUAAUUAAAUACCAGGUAAAUUCUCAAGACAAUCAACGAAACCAGGAAUAAAGUCCCUGUCCCUGCAGCUAUAACAAACCUCAAAGGUUCCUGCCAGGAAAAUUAUAUUAUAAUCUGUAAAAAAAAAAAAAAGAGUGUACAAACACACACAAACACACACACAUAUCUUCUUCUUCAAAAGGGAGAGGGUCACUCACUCUGGAAGGAUUAAAGCUAGCAGCAGCGAUGGGAACACCAAGGACAGUGAAGGUGACCAACCAAAGACCACCGAGACGAAGAAAGAAUUUGCUUGGACCCAAUUCUCCCCAUGAGUACAACAUCCCUUCCUUCAAAGCCGAAUACUCAUUCAC